UACGUAGGGUGCAAGCGUUGUCCGGAAUUACUGGGCGUAAAGAGCUCGUAGGCGGUUUGUCGCGUCUGCCGUGAAAACCCGAGGCUCAACCGGGGAGGGUCAUUGGAAACUGGAGGACUUGAGUACAGAAGAGGAGAGUGGAAUUCCAUGUGUAGCGGUGAAAUGCGCAGAGAUAUGGAGGAACACCAGUGGCGAAGGCGGCUCUCUGGUCUGCAACUGACGCUGAUGUGCGAAAGCGUGGGGAUCAAACAGG
rnacentral:rRNA from 1 species